rnacentral:rRNA from 1 species
UACGGAGGGUGCAAGCGUUGUUCGGAAUUACUGGGCGUAAAGCGUGCGUAGGCUGUCUGAUAAGUUGGGAGUGAAAUCCCGGAGCUUAACUCCGGAAUUGCUCUCAAAACUAUCAGGCUGGAGUAUGGUAGGGGACAGUGGAAUUCCUAGUGUAGAGGUGAAAUUCGUAGAUAUUAGGAGGAACACCAGUGGCGAAAGCGACUGUCUGGGCCAUUACUGACGCUGAGGCACGAAAGCGUGGGGAGCAAACAGG